AUCAAGAUAACUUAGCUGGAAGAGUAGAGGACUGAAAAUCCUCAUGUCACCAGUUCAAAUCUAGUUCCUGGCA
rnacentral:tRNA from 1 species